AGUCAACGCGGUCUCAUAUUACGUGUGCCAGAGCAAGCCGGCGGUAAUACGGUAAGGUGGCAGCGUUGAUCCGGAAUUUUAUUUAGGCGUAAGCGAGCGGCAAGCGGGUUUUUUUAAGUCGAAUGGUGAAGCCUUCGGCUCCAAACCGAAAGAAGUGCAUCCGGAACCUGGGAACCUUGAGUGCAGAAGAAGGACAGUGGAACUCCAUGUGUAGGCGGUUGAAAUGCGUAGAUAUAUGGAAGAACACCAGUGGCGAAGGCGGGCUGUCUGGUCUGUAACUGACGCUGAGGCUCGAAAGUAUGGGUAGCAAACAGGAUUAGAUACCUGGUAGUCCAUACCGUAAACGAUGAAUUGCUAAGUGUUGGAGGGUUUCCGCCCUUCAGUGCUGCAGCUAACGCAUUAAGCAUUCCGCCUGGGGAGUACGGCCGCAAGGCUGAAACUCAAAGGAAUUGACGGGGGCCCGCACAAGCGGUGGAGCAUGUGGUUUAAUUCGAAGCUACGCGAAGAACCUUACCAGGUCUUGACAUACUAUGCAAAUCUAAGAGAUUAGACGUUCCCUUCGGGGACAUGGAUACAGGUGGUGCAUGGUUGUCGUCAGCUCGUGUCGUGAGAUGUUGGGUUAAGUCCCGCAACGAGCGCAACCCUUAUUAUCAGUUGCCAGCAUUAAGUUGGGCACUCUGGUGAGACUGCCGGUGACAAACCGGAGGAAGGUGGGGAUGACGUCAAAUCAUCAUGCCCCUUAUGACCUGGGCUACACACGUGCUACAAUGGAUGGUACAACGAGUUGCGAACUCGCGAGAGUAAGCUAAUCUCUUAAAGCCAUUCUCAGUUCGGAUUGUAGGCUGCAACUCGCCUACAUGAAGUCGGAAUCGCUAGUAAUCGCGGAUCAGCAUGCCGUGGUGAAUACGUUCCCGGGCCUUUACACACCGCCCGUCUCACCAUCAGUAUAGUAACACCCAAAGCCCGGAGGUCCAACAAGGAACCAGCCACCCAAAAUAAGC
rnacentral:rRNA from 1 species